rfam:Mumia flava strain MTSC 201 Contig164, whole genome shotgun sequence.
UUAUGCUUGCGCACAUGAACCGCUUCCUGUCCGCCCUUCGACGUCGCCGCUCGCCGCUCCGCCCGGAUGCCGCCGGCUCGUCACGGACUCGCGCGUAACCCCCACACCGCUUCACCGGUUACGCACAAGCUGUUCGACCCACCAGCCACGGCCUUCCGUGGCUUUUUU